AGAAAAAUAGGAGGUAUCACUCUUGUCUGUUUCCCGGGUUCAUCAGUCCGUGAGCUGUAAUGAAAAAGCCGCAUUUGUACAACAUAUACCUACAUUUGAUCUGUUCCUCGCUCCAUUUUUCAGCUCCAGAGUGACUCCUCGUCUCGCGAAUACACGAUCUUUGGUUGGAGUCCGUGUGUAUAAGGUGGGGCAGAGUGUCUCCCGGUCAACUUGUAAAAGUUGAGUGUGUGUCUGAUUUCUUAACGAUCUGCUUAAAAACACGUUAGCAGGCCUGCUUCAGAGUGCUCUAAGAGUUUGGUUAGUAUAUGUUUUUAUUAUAAGUAUUUU